CUUGUGUCUUCAGUCUUUGUCACGUCCUUGUGUGUGCGUCUUGUUGAGUGUUCCGCCUUGUGCUCUGUUUUCCCUGUUCUGGAUUACCUUUGUUUGGACCUUUGCCCUGAGCUGCACAACGUUUCUGGAUGGAGUGCAGACAGCUGAGCUGCUGCAGCAGAGUCAAGUGCAGUGGGGUUAGGUUGAAUGGCUUGGAUUCCUGACCAGUCUGUUAAAAUUGAAGAAGCCUCUUGGAUGAGAGGCAAAACGCCUUUGAG